rnacentral:lncRNA from 1 species
AUCAUAACUAUCAUUAUUGUGUAGAGUUACUAAAUAAAAAUAACAGUUGUCUGUAUCACUGUAGUAAUACAAGAGCCUGAUAUACCUCAGAUGGGAGAGGAGAGGGGAUGUGGCCACCCGGGAAGCACUUUUUAGCAUGCUGUGUGUCAUUUGAGAGGAAUCUGUAGUAAACAUGGUUUCAUCCAGCUCUGAGGACUAUUCCAGCCUCAUCUGGAAGCUGGCUGAUUAAGAAGCUUGAAUCAGCACUCCGUCAAAAGAGGUUAUGCCUUUUUCUGUACCUGUGGCCCCCAGAAAGAGCAUCCAGCAUACUCGCAUUCAUGUUGCUACAGGCAAUGGUGCUACACCAGAGAUAACCGAAUGUUGGGGGAAGAAGGCUAUUUCAGACAAGCCUCCAUCUGCAGGAGGGAAGGGAAUGUGACACCUCUGUAGGAUUUUUGUUUUAAGAAAAAUGGAGCAGCAUCUGAAGAUUUUCCUUUUUAAAAUUCAUUUCCUCCUAAUAUUACAGAAUUACAGGUAGCAAAUGAAUUACCUGGACAGCUGAAAUAGGGACUAAAGAG